GGAGAAAGGCGCGGAGAGGCCAUUGGUUGGAAUUUUGCGAGAGCGAGGCCAAUUAGAGCGAGCGCAGAAGAACCCAGCGGCCAAUGGGUGGCGCCUCCGGGGGCGGGAGCAGAGAGACAAGGAAAUGCUGUCACCGCCGUCAACACGCACGUGGAGGUUUGUUAAAGCCGCUGUUACCCUGGACUUGAACUGUUUGGAGACCAGGCUGGGCUCGGAGGGAAUCUUCAGUUAGGGAGUUACAGCAGCAUCUACCAAAGCAGCCCUGCCGGCACGUGACAGUGUACCAUGUGGGUUUGGCUUCAUUUUCCUCCCCAGCUGGCUCUUGAAACAACCCUCUAGAUUUCAAACCAGUGUUUGUAAGUCUCUCUACUAGUAUCACUCAGAGCUUUGUGGCCCCUCGGCUGCAGGCCUAGGCAAUGAAAACAGAGACUGAUCUCGCUGCCACUGCAGAACUAUAUCCUGGGAUUAACCAUGAAGGGGAAAGCAGAAGCAAUUCCAGUUGGGUGUUUGGAAAUGAAAAGUGGUUCAGAAGUAAGCAUAAAUGUCUAACUGCAAGACUAUGAGCAAAGGCACUUUAGAACCUCAUUAAUUUGGAACGUUAUGUUUAAAACAUGUCACUUGGACAUAAAUUGUGUUUACCUUUGUCUUCAUACUAUUCAAAGGGAAGCUAAAUAGUGUAUGAGGACUGCAAAGGGACUCUUGCGUAUAACCACGUAACUGUUUUAUACCACUUUGAACAUUUUAACUGUACCGUGUGCUCUUAACAGCAGUUUACAUCCGGUCACUAAAACCUACAUUUAGCAGCA